rnacentral:lncRNA from 1 species
UCACGGAUGCCCUUGAGCAGCGUUCACAGCUGCACAUCUGGCCUUGGGACCGGCCGUUACUGGUGGUGAAGUGGUUGUGCUGCCGAUCGCCCGUGUGUUCCCGCAAACCUGGUGCCCAGAAGUGGAGACUGCGGCCCCCAGGCUCUGUGUCAGGGCCUCACAGUCACCCAUGCAGCGGCUCCUCCGACCAAGGCCUUACGCCUCCCCCUUGCUGUCCUUGGCCCGUGGGGGCUGAAGGCCCCUAGAGCUCCGGGGAUACUGGCAGGGGCGGGCAUGCUGGGGACAAGCUGGUCUGCCGGCUCGCAGAGCGAUUCUGACUGAUUUGCUGUCUGCUGGAAGCUCAGUUUUGAGAAUCAAUACUUAGGUUCGGUAGAAGAGAGUGAGCUGAUUAAUGAUGUUUGCUCUGAGUGUAGAAUGUUGACAGCAGUUCGUGGUGUUUUUACCUUCAGUGUGCUUCAUGGUUAAGAGCUGCUGUUUGGUUAUUUCCAUUAUGGAUGAGUAUGAUGAAAAUUACAUACCUUUUAAAAUCGACCAUACGGAGGAGGAGAAAUGCCACAUUCAGAUUGACCUGGAGGAGUUUCAUGUGUGUGCCCUCUCCUCGCCCGCCUGGCUGUCAGAUGCCAAAACUGAGAGCCAUGGACAUUAAAUGACAUGCCCCCGAUCUUGGGGAGAGCCCCUGUUAUGUGAGAAUCAAACCCAGGUCUUGUGGACUUUUUGCUUUGCUAUGCAGUUCCUGCUUUCUCAUCUUUCCCUGGAUAUCCAGUUCACACAUGCACGACCCUCUCCUGGACUGGUUGGUGGCAGUACUUUGAAGGACAGGAUGCAGAUCAGUGUGCCUUGGACUCUCACUGAUGUCACAUAUAUGGAUCACAACUUUAAGCAUAUACUUAAUCUUCCAAUCUCCGCUCCCCACUCCCCGCCGUGAGCCGCUCCGGCUGCACCGCGCUCGCUCUGAGCUCCAGGCUCCUGCUAAGCUAGGGCGGCCCGUCUCCCUUCAGCCACUAUCAUGAUUAUCUAUCGGGACCUCAUCAGCUACGAUGAGAUGAGAUGUUCUCCGACAUUCACAAGGUCCGGAAGAUCGCGGGCGGACUGUGCCUGGAGGUGGAGGGCAAGAUGGUCAGUAAAACAGAGGAUAACAUUAAGGAAGUGGGAGGGGGAGGGGAAAGGAAAGAAGGGAAUAGAAUUAAUAUGAGAAAAUGGAAAAAUAGGAACAAAAUCUUUGUAAAUAGGGAGGGAUGGAGGGGUUGAAGGGAGGGCUGGGCAAGGGUGAAAAAUAAGAACCAAGAGAGACUAUGCAAAGGUGCAAAUUUCCAAUGAUGAAUGUCAUUAUAUUGUAUACCUAAAAUGUACCAAUGAUUAGAAUGAAUAAUCGAUAAUGCAAAAUAGGAAGAAAAGGUCCAAAGGGGUAGGGGCAGUGGGAG